rnacentral:rRNA from 1 species
AGUGAACGCUGGCGGUAGGCCUAGCACAUGCAAGUCGAACGGCAGCACAGUAAGAGCUUGCUCUUACGGGUGGCGAGUGGCGGACGGGUGAGGAAUACAUCGGAAUCUACUUUUUCGUGGGGGAUAACGUAGGGAAACUUACGCUAAUACCGCAUACGACCUACGGGUGAAAGCAGGGGAUCUUCGGACCUUGCGCGAUUGUAUGAGCCGAUGUCGGAUUAGCUAGUUGGCGGGGUAAAGGCCCACCAAGGCGACGAUCCGUAGCUGGUCUGAGAGGAUGAUCAGCCACACUGGAACUGAGACACGGUCCAGACUCCUACGGGAGGCAGCAGUGGGGAAUAUUGGACAAUGGGCGCAAGCCUGAUCCAGCCAUACCGCGUGGGUGAAGAAGGCCUUCGGGUUGUAAAGCCCUUUUGUUGGGAAAGAAAAGCAGCAGGUUAAUACCCCGCUGUUCUGACGGUACCCAAAGAAUAAGCACCGGCUAACUUCGUG